rnacentral:rRNA from 1 species
AUGAACGCUGGCGCGUGCUUAACACAUGCAAGUCGAACGAAGCAUUUAGAACAGAUUACUUCGGUUUGAAGUUCUUUAUGACUGAGUGGCGGACGGGUGAGUAACGCGUGGGUAACCUGCCUUGUACUGGGGGGAUAGCAGCUGGAAACGGCUGGUAAUACCGCAUAAGCGCACAAUGUUGCAUGACAUGGUGUGAAAAACUCCGGUGGUAUAAGAUGGACCCGCGUCUGAUUAGCUAGUUGGUGAGAUAACAGCCCACCAAGGCGACGAUCAGUAGCCGACCUGAGAGGGUGACCGGCCACAUUGGGACUGAGACACGGCCCAGACUCCUACGGGAGGCAGCAGUGGGGAAUAUUGCACAAUGGAGGAAACUCUGAUGCAGCGACGCCGCGUGAGUGAAGAAGUAAUUCGUUAUGUAAAGCUCUAUCAGCAGGGAAGAUAGUGACGGUACCUGACUAAGAAGCUCCGGCUAAAUACGUG